AAAAAUAGUAUACUAAAAAUGUAAACUGAAAAUAAUCGACCAAUGGGCGGAGCCGGAGGCAUUCAGUUGGUGAAAAUCAACUGUUCAAUGUAAUGGUCGAAUCUAGUAGGCAUAUGAGCUAUGAUUCGUCCUUCUCCUCACUUUUAGUCAUUGCCUGCUUAUAGUUCUUGAAUCGGAUUCAGUACCAAGCAGAGUCUACCGGCUUCUUUCGAGGCGCUUGUAUCCUUUGCCUUUAAAAAAUCUAACCAAUGUUGAUGCCUCCCGGCCGGUGAAUGGGGGAUGAAGAAGGCUGAAGUGCGGUGUAUGAAUGGCUAUGGAGGUUUUUGCUUAAUUCGUGGUGCGAAUCUUACUUUCUUUAAUGACGAAGUCAAUUAAGGAUAACCCAUCGCGACUUCUUGUCGCUCUGAACAGCACCGAUGGAUUUCUAAGUUGUUUUGUGAAUGCUGAUUUUUCAGGGAGGCCUGCUCUGCGUCUGGCAGCGAUAAAAGAAGGAGCAACACAUUAGAAAGCCAGACGGGACCAUCACUACAAUUUGUUGGACUAUUUCCGCUCGUACUACUUUGUUUUAAAUGAAAUUCUCCUCAUAAUUCCUUUCAAAUGGAAUAUCAAUAUGAAGAAUAAAAGCAAGUCUUUAUGUAUUUUAUACAUCUUUGCCUCUGGUGGUACAAAUUGCUAUGCCAUUAGAUAGGCAUCUGAAUACUUGGAUAUCAUACGAAGGUCAGAGACAUUACUUAUAUCAAACCGAUCCCUUAAAGAGCUUUUCCUCUUAUGGAGAGAAACGCGAAUUUCAAACAUGUCAUUGUGGUGAGUCGAUAACAUCUACGGAACUUUCCUCUUCCCACAUAUUUUGAGCUCCUAUACCCAGUGCUCUAAUAGUUAUAACCUUUUUUCUCCCUCACUUUGCUCAGUUUAAAAAAAUCUCUUUCAUGAAAUCAUUGAAUGACAUAACUUUCAAACUUCUGGCUCCUUAACCUUUUUCCGUUCCUCAAUUUAAAAAGUCAUACAUGAAAUGAUUGGGUGACGUAAAUUUCAACAUUCUGGCUUCAUAGCCUUUUUCCCUUUGCUUUAAACAUCUUCCAUGAAAUGCUUGAACCAUAUAACUCUCAAAAUUCUGGCUGAAUGCUGUUUCAUACCAAAAUUUCAGCUUGAAUAAUUCUGUGGCGCCAAACAUUUAAUUGGACCACAGGUUUCUCGCACCAAUUUAUGUGUGGCCAUUUCUAGGCACUCUUCUCAUUGGGUGUCCAUUGGAAAAUGAAAUUAAAGAGUCAUCCAUUGCAAGAGGAACAACUCUCCUUCUCUCUCCCCCUCUCCCUCACUGUUCAACUUGCUUUUAUUGCUUAUCAUUUCAAGCAGAUUCUACAUCGUUGACUGUUUAUUCGGACAGGUUCAGGUAAGCUCGUUUUGAUACGAGAAGAUAUCAAUUGCUCCAAUUCAGAAAGGAGAAGUUGGCUGAUCCACGUCUAUAUCCUGAAGGCUAAAUAGCCAUGGAGAUGAUUCUGAUCUAAUGGCUGUUUUUCAUGCAUGUUUGGUAUUACAUGAUAGUAAAUUUGACCCAAUUGCAGGGUGCUUUGGAAGAAACCAAAUCUUGGGGUGGCGAACAUCAACAGCUUGUCCAACUUCGUGGCUAUAAACUCCCAAGUUUUGGCCCAACAUCAGCACACAGCUCACGAUCCCUACCGUAUACGACUCUCAUAAUUGUUCAUGAGACUGAUGUUUAACAUCUUACUUGAAUUCUCUUAAUUAUUGAGCAUUAAUUAUUGUACUAAUUAAGUCAUACUUAGGAAUGCACAUGAAUCUUUGUAAUACCACAUUAAUUUGGAAAUCAUGUAUUGUAUAUGUCUCUUACUAUUCUUUGAAUGGAAAUUGCUUGUAUUUGUUUUAGUAAUAUUUGUGGUAGUGGCAACUUCAACGUGGUAAGUUGUAUAGUAACCACUCUCCUCUUAUCCCAA